rnacentral:rRNA from 1 species
GACCAGACUCCUACGGGAGGCAGCAGUGGGGAAUAUUGCACAAUGGGGGGAACCCUGAUGCAGCGACGCCGCGUGGGUGAAGGAGUAUUUCGGUAUGUAAAGCCCUAUCAGCAGGGAAGAACAAUGACGGUACCUGACUAAGAAGCACCGGCUAAAUACGUGCCAGCAGCCGCGGUAAUACGUAUGGUGCAAGCGUUAUCCGGAUUUACUGGGUGUAAAGGGAGCGCAGGCGGCGCGUUAAGCCUGGUGUGAAAGCCCGGGGCUCAACCCCGGGACUGCAUUUGAAACUGUCAGGCUGGAGUGCAGGAGAGGUAAGUGGAAUUCCUAGUGUAGCGGUGAAAUGCGUAGAUAUUAGGAGGAACACCAGUGGCGAAGGCGGCUUACUGGACUGUAACUGACGUUGAGGCUCGAAAGCGUGGGGAGCAAACAGGAUUAGAUACCCCUGUA